UACCAUGCAGUCGAACGGCAGCGCGGGAGCAAUCCUGGUGGCGAGUGGCGAACGGGUGAGUAAUAUAUCGGAACGUGCCCAGUCGUGGGGGAUAACGCAGUGAAAGCUGUGCUAAUACCGCAUACGAUCUCUGGAUGAAAGCGGGGGACUCGGCAACGAGCCUCGCGCGAUUGGAGCGGCCGAUAUCAGAUUAGCUAGUUGGUGGGGUAAAGGCCCACCAAGGCGACGAUCUGUAGCUGGUCUGAGAGGACGACCAGCCACACUGGAACUGAGACACGGUCCAGACUCCUACGGGAGGCAGCAGUGGGGAAUUUUGGACAAUGGGCGCAAGCCUGAUCCAGCAAUGCCGCGUGCAGGAUGAAGGCCUUCGGGUUGUAAACUGCUUUUGUACGGAACGAAAAAGUCUGCCCUAAUACGGCGGGCCCAUGACGGUACCGUAAGAAUAAGCACCGGCUAACUACGUGCCAGCAGCCGCGGUAAUACGUAGGGUGCGAGCGUUAAUCGGAAUUACUGGGCGUAAAGCGUGCGCAGGCGGUUAUAUAAGUCAGAUGUGAAAUCCCCGGGCUCAACCUGGGACCUGCAUUUGAGACUGUAUAGCUAGAGUACGGUAGAGGGGGAUGGAAUUCCGCGUGUAGCAGUGAAAUGCGUAGAUAUGCGGAGGAACACCGAUGGCGAAGGCAAUCCCCUGGACCUGUACUGACGCUCAUGCACGAAAGCGUGGGGAGCAAACAGGAUUAGAUACCCUGGUAGUCCACGCCCUAAACGAUGUCAACUGGUUGUUGGGUCUUCACUGACUCAGUAACGAAGCUAACGCGUGAAGUUGACCGCCUGGGGAGUACGGCCGCAAGGUUGAAACUCAAAUGAAUUGACGG
rnacentral:rRNA from 1 species